rnacentral:lncRNA from 1 species
AGAGAAGAGAAAUAAAAGAUAACAAACAUGUGAGAAUGAAUUGGUGUCAUUUCAAGGGCUUCAAAAUUUUUUCAAAUGAGUAUCACAAGUAGAAAUGCAUUUCAAGAAGUCGCAAGUGAUAAUGAGUUCAACAUUAUAGCCUUCCAAGCUUGAAUCCUCACAAAGGUGGAUGUUUCAAUGAUGCACUCAACUCUCAAGUGUUUAGAUUGGAACGUGUUUGCACUCAAAUUGAAACAAUGUAUGCAAUCUACCAUAAGCUUGCCAUUUAUCCUAACUCUCUAUACUUCAAUGUGUUAUAAAUAAUGAUCAACAAGGGCUUUUCUUGGGUUGUAAUGAGGGCUCUUUGGUAAGGUGAGUAGUUUUUUAGGCAAAGUGACUCAUCCCACAAUCUAAUAAUCACAAUGAACAAAUCAACUUCACCAUUUCUCUUAUCAAUCAAAAACCAAAAUCCCUACAUUUCUUCUUUUCAUCCUUAGUGAUACUUAUCAUGGCUAUGAUUCAAAAGGCAAAUCACUCUCCUUUAUGCUCUUUUAUUCACAUUCAUUUUC